rnacentral:rRNA from 1 species
UACGUAGGGUGCGGGCGUUAAUCGGAAUUACUGGGCGUAAAGAGUGCGUAGGCGGCUUCUCAAGUCAGGUGUGAAAUCCCCGGGCUUAACCUGGGAAUGGCGCUUGAAACUGGGGGGCUUGAGUGUGGCAGAGGGGGGUGGAAUUCCACGUGUAGCAGUGAAAUGCGUAGAGAUGUGGAGGAACACCGAUGGCGAAGGCAGCCCCCUGGGAUAAGACUGACGCUCAUGUACGAAAGCGUGGGGAGCAAACAGG